CCGUAGGUGANACCUGCGGAAGGAUCAUUCACACGAAUCCAAUCUAACCACCUAACCUCAGUGGGGUUCGCGGCAGCAUCCUCCGGAUCUGCUUGCGGGUCCUAGGUGCUUUCCGACUCCGAGCUCCGGCUUGGGGGCCUUGCCAGCAGGGUCUGGUAAGGUAGGUCUGCACCGUUUUAUCUACUCCAUUUCGAUAACUUCAAUCAAUGAAAGCAUUAAACUUUCAGCGAUGGAUGCCUCGGCUUGAGCACUGAUGAAGGACGCAGCGAAAUGCGAUACGCAUUGUGAAUUGCAGAAUUCCGUGAGUCAAUAGGUAUCUGAACGCACUCUGCACUCUCGGGGUCUCCUCGUGAGUACAUCUGCUUCAGUGUUUCCGAACCCUCCUGCCAGCUGCAAUGCGCGGCUAGGCGUUUCUGUGUGCUAACGGGCUUUCCCGCUAGCGCAUUAAAUGAUACAGGAAUCGUGCUCUACUGGCAUGUUGGUCACCUCGUGUGAGCUUUGCUGGUGGUGGCGCUGGAUGGUCCUGUGCCAAUCCGGAAUUGAACCUGAAGUCAGGUGGAGCUACCCGCUGAACUUAAGCAUAUCAAC
rnacentral:rRNA from 1 species